AACCAGGUGUAGUGGUUCGAGUGUUCGACUAUGACUCUAGAGACCAGGGUUGGAAUCCGUGCUUGGCUA